rnacentral:rRNA from 1 species
CAGUCGCCGCGGGAAUACGUAGGUGGCAAGCGUUGUCCGGAAUUAUUGGGCGUAAAGGGCUCCCAGGCGGUUUCUUAAGUCUGAUGUGAAAGCCCCCGGCUCAACCGGGGAGGGUCAUUGGAAACUGGGAAACUUGAGUGCAGAAGAGGAGAGUGGAAUUCCGCGUGUAGCGGUGAAAUGCGUAGAGAUGUGGAGGAACACCAGUGGCGAAGGCGACUCUCUGGUCUGUAACUGACGCUGAGGAGCGAAAGCGUGGGGAGCGAACAGGAUUAGAUACCCCCGUAGUCCCUGUCUCUUAUAC